rnacentral:rRNA from 1 species
AGCUCCAGUAGCGUAUAUUAAAGUUGCUGCAGUUAAAAAGCUCGUAGUUGAAAUUCUGUUCAAGAUAAUGAGGUCGCAAGAUCUUCAUUUUUUUUGAACAUCUGUCUGCAACCAUUCGCUCGGUCUUCAUUGAUUGGCAAUGUGAGUAGACGAUUUACCUUGAGAAAAUUAGAGUGUUUCAGGCAAGCUUCAGCUGGAAUACAUUAGCAUGGAAUAAUGGAAUAGGACUGAUGACUAUUUAUUGGUUUAAGGCGUCAGUAAUGAUUAAUAGGAACAGUCGGGGGCAUUAGUACUUAAUAGUCAGAGGUGAAAUUCUUGGAUUUAUUAAAGACUAACUAAUGCGAAAGCAUUUGCCAAGCAUGUUUUCA